AAUAUAUAUURCACCAAAAAUCGCAGCAAGAAUUGACAGUGUAAAAGGGUAAGGAAUAACCCAUUGUGGCUCGAUCUUGUGAUAUAGAACAGGUGAGUUGAUGUAGACCACAUGAGAAGAAAAAGAAACAGAGCAUGACCUCUUGAGCUUUCAUUCUCGAACCCUAUUUAUUUAUCUAUACAUGGUGCGCAUGCUCUCUAUCUCGUAACUAUGAUAGAUCAUGUUCGAAGGCUCAAGACGAGAUAGAACACAUUGGUCCGUCAUCUUCCAAACCAGGAGGAAAUUUCUCGGAAUUCUAAAGUUUACUGGUMAUCAAUAUCAAAUAUAUUGAAUUUUAUUGAUAAACAAUAUGUCACUAUUACACUACACCAUGGCAAACACUAUAACACGCUUUUUUCUUGAUUACACAGUAUUACAGUUCAGUGAUAAUGUUGACUAUAUUGAUUUAUAUUACRUCAUUGUAAGCUAUCUUUUAUGGAGCAACCACAAACAUCAAAUAUCGAGGUUUCUGAUAUGAAUUAAUGCACUGUUUAUCGUUUCAGCUGGUUCUACCUUAAACAAACAACACAAUAUAUGCCGUGUAUCACAAUAAAACAAAGAUAAAUAGCUACAAGUUGGUGGAUCGUCAUUUAUUAUUUCUGCUUAUAUAUAUAUGUCUGUUCGUCAGUUGAGUUAUCAUUCACCAUGUCUUGUUACUGUCUUGCAGUGCUAUGCUGCUUCUUUGUGUUCAGUAUGUCACAAAUAACCAGUGGCAUYUCAAUGGUGCCGGGAGAACUUGGCAAAAGGUAUCCGSUAAACAAGAUGGGUGUGCUCAAARCCAAUCAUUAUUGUCAAGAAGCUAAAGUUUUGUGUAGAAACAGCUUUCAUAAAGAUCAAAAGGGUUUUGACUGAUCACAAUACAACAUCAUCGGACUUCAAAAAGGACUUAAAUCAAGCAAUAAUGCGCAAUAACUUAUAAUAUAUUUUUGAAAGUGUUAACGAGAGCCAAAGAUGAGGAUUGUAACAUUAAAAUCAUCAUUACUUAGCAAAAGUGAAAAUAAAAAAAAAACAGAACGA